rnacentral:rRNA from 1 species
UACGAAGGGGGCUAGCGUUGCUCGGAAUCACUGGGCGUAAAGGGUGCGUAGGCGGGUCUUUAAGUCAGAGGUGAAAUCCUGGAGCUCAACUCCAGAACUGCCUUUGAUACUGAGGAUCUUGAGUUCGGGAGAGGUGAGUGGAACUGCGAGUGUAGAGGUGAAAUUCGUAGAUAUUCGCAAGAACACCAGUGGCGAAGGCGGCUCACUGGCCCGAUACUGACGCUGAGGCACGAAAGCGUGGGAAGCAAACAGG